UGACGCUGGCGGCGUGCUUAACACAUGCAAGUCGUGCGAGAAAGGGGACUUCGGGUCCCUGAGUAGAGCGGCGCACGGGUGAGUAACGCGUGGAUUAUCUACCCAGAUAUUCGGGAUAACGGCGGGAAACUGCCGCUAAUACCGGAUACGCUCCAAUUUCGGUCGGGGGAAAGGCGGCCUCUGCUUGCAAGCUGUCGUAUCUGGAUGAGUCCGCGUCCCAUUAGCUUGUUGGCGGGGUAAUGGCCCACCAAGGCUACGAUGGGUAGCUGGUCUGAGAGGAUGAUCAGCCACACUGGAACUGAAACACGGUCCAGACUCCUACGGGAGGCAGCAGUGGGGAAUAUUGCGCAAUGGGGGAAACCCUGACGCAGCGACGCCGUGUGAGGGAAGAAGGCUUUCGGGUCGUAAACCUCUGUCGGGAGGGAAGAACCUUCCAGGUCUGAAUAAGCCCUGGAACUGACGGUACCUCCAAAGGAAGCACCGGCUAACUCCGUGCCAGCAGCCGCGGUAAUACGGAGGGUGCAAGCGUUAAUCGGAAUCACUGGGCGUAAAGCGCGCGUAGGCCGCCUUCUAAGUCGGACGUGAAAGCCCUCGGCUCAACCGAGGAACUGCGUUCGAAACUGGGAGGCUUGAGUCCUGGAGGGGGUGGCGGAAUUCCGGGUGUAGGAGUGAAAUCCGUAGAUAUCCGGAGGAACACCGGUGGCGAAGGCGGCCACCUGGACAGGUACUGACGCUGAGGCGCGAAAG
rnacentral:rRNA from 1 species